CGCAUUCCGCCCCAAUCUGGCGGGGUCCGUCCGCCUGCUCCGUCGAGGUCCACCCGCCUGCUCCAUCAACCUCCUCUUCAACCACCUGACCUCCUCCCGCCGGCAUCCCCUGUGGGAACGGCCUCCUCCGCCGUGCCUACAACGCCGGUGCGUUUCUCCAGGCGCGCGCAGAUGGGUGAGCCGGACUAGCCCCAGCCACGGCUGACGGUCUUGGCGGACUCCCUCUCCUCCUUGCCCCGCGGUAAGGAACCCGCCGAGUUCGCCUUCGUCAUUCGGUCUAUAAUUCCCCUUCCAAUUCCGCCCAAUUGGAUCCCCGCGGUCGUACUCAGGACAUCCAUGCAGGGACUUAAACUCAUGGACAUGGCAUCAUCCUUACUACAAGAGAUAUCCCCGGCCGGCCGGCGGCCACGGUGACGCAAAGAACCAGUCCGACGUCUGCUCCCUGCCUUGGCGAACAAGUGAGGGUGUGUGUGUCAGACUUAUGGCACAACUGAAAUACAGAUAAUCCUUGGUCGAAAGAUUUUGUUGCUGUCCAGGCCAUCUUGAAGACGUUUGGUGAUGCAUCCAGGCUGAGAACUAACAUUGCGAAGAGUGUGGCUUAUCCUACUUCCUGUGAUGGUAUCGAUUUAUCUCGUAUGCUGUGUGAUUUUGGUGGAGUGCAAGCUUAUUGGCCAUGGGUAUCUGGGUUUGCCUGUAGGGUUCAGAAAGCCGAGCUACAGCCGGUUGUGCUUGACUAGGCUACCAGCAAGCUCUCGCCAUGGAAAGAGCGACGUCUCAACAGGACUGGAAGACUGGUGAUUAUUAACUGGGCUGUGACUGCAACUUGCUACCUACUUCCUGACCAUUUGUGAAUUGGAAGCGAGUGUGCGCGCCAAAGAUGUUCAGUCGAGCCCUUGGGCUGUGGUGGGAAUGGUUCAGGUGGGCUGAUGAGAAGAGAUAGACAGCUCUUUUCCUGCCGCACCCCCAUCUCCCUUGGGGAUGGCAGCUUGGCCAUUCUCAGGAAGGAGCGUUGGUCGGAAGGGGACGCUCCUUGUUUUUUGGUGCCCUGGAAAUCUUGAGGCUGGCACGGUACAGAAGUUGCCGGUUAAGGAUGCGAGGGUUGCAGCGGAUCAGUACUUAACUACUAAGUUGCAGCUGAACCAAUUCAUGCUAAUUUGAGUGGCGUGCCACACAACAGCGUUUGCCGCCUGUGUGAUCAGGAGCGAGACAGUGCUGCCCAUCUGACCCGGCGUUGCUGUUACACGAAGGAGGUGCGGCAUUGAUUUCAGAAUUCCAACGCUAGAGUGUGCUCAAUUGUUUCUCGGCAUUGACAAUCCAGGGGUGGCGGAGGAUUUGCUCGGGCAGCGGCUCACCGAGGUGAGAAGAAGAAAAACUGUAAUCCAAUUCGGAGUAGUAAUUUCGAACAAAAAGUACCUGCGUGUGUAGCUGGGAUAUGGAGGGAGUCAGGGAGGUACGACGAUCCAGUUCGUGCCCAACUGAAGCGUUGCGCGGUGUGCAGCAGCUCUGCUCAUGAACAUGAACUCAUCCUCAAGCAAUGGCCGUGGUCUGCACCCGUCGGUAACUCUUUUUUCCCCUCCAUCCAAAGAAAAGGGUGUAGGGCCAUUUUUGUACUGUCCUUUUCAGAAGGGAGACUUGGCCAAACUCCUCCAUUGGCUUAGCUUGUUUUGUUCGCCGGGCGGCCAGAUGGCAAAAGCUCCCCUGACUGACUUAUGUCCAUGGAAUUUAGGAAGCAGAUAAACCAGGCAGCAGGAUCCAGCUUCCGUUUGACUGAAUCAACAAAUUUAGAAUAUGGUCUUGCAGGCGAAUUGGUGGUUAGCAUACGCUGUCUAUGGAAAUCAGGACUUGUAUAAUGGCUGGGGUGUGGUGUGCAGUGCUCAUCUGCCAUCGACGACACUGUCGACACUUGUAAAAUGUAGAGGUAGCAAACACAUAUACUACUUACUCCUCUGUAAAUUAAUAUAAGACGUUUUAUAUUUGUUUACAGAGGAAGUACAUCAUAAACAAGGGACUCCGAAGAAAUAGGAUUGAUCCGUUCAUGAUUCAACAAUAUUGUG